rnacentral:rRNA from 1 species
CCUACGGGAGGCAGCAGUGGGGAAUAUUGCGCAAUGGGCGAAAGCCUGACGCAGCGACGCCGCGUGAGGGAUGAAGGUCUUCGGAUCGUAAACCUCUGUCAGCAGGGAAGAACGGUCACUGUGCUAAUCAGCAGUGACUUGACGGUACCUGCAAAGGAAGCACCGGCUAACUCCGUGCCAGCUGCCGCGGUAAUACGGAGGGUGCGAGCGUUAAUCGGAUUUACUGGGCGUAAAGCGCUCGUAGGCGGUAUGUCAAGUCAAGGGUGAAAUCCCCGCGCUCAACGUGGGAACUGCCUUUGAAACUGGCAAACUGGAGUGUGUGAGAGGAUAGUGGAAUUCCAGGUGUAGGAGUGAAAUCCGUAGAUAUCUGGAGGAACAUCAGUGGCGAAGGCGACUAUCUGGCACAUAACUGACGCUGAGGAGCGAAAGCGUGGGUAGCAAACAGGAUUAGAUACCCUGGUAGUC